rnacentral:rRNA from 1 species
AACGAACGCUGGCGGCAUGCCUAACACAUGCAAGUCGAACGAGACCUUCGGGUCUAGUGGCGCACGGGUGCGUAACGCGUGGGAACCUGCCCUUAGGUUCGGAAUAACUCCCCGAAAGGGGUGCUAAUACCGGAUAAUGUCUUCGGACCAAAGAUUUAUCGCCUUUGGAUGGGCCCGCGUUGGAUUAGCUAGUUGGUAGGGUAAAAGCCUACCAAGGCGACGAUCCAUAGCUGGUCUGAGAGGAUGAUCAGCCACACUGGGACUGAGACACGGCCCAGACCCAUGCGGGAGGGAGGAGGGGGGAAUAUUGGACAAGGGGCGAAAGCCUGACCCAGCAGUGCCGGGUGAGUGAGGAAGGCUUUAGGGUUUAAAAGCUUUUUUCCCCGGGAUGAUAAUAAGAGACCCGGGGAAAAAAGCCGGGGUAAACCCGGG